UAUAAAAAACCCUUCUUUCCCCUCUUCUCUGGAUGCUUCUCAUAAUUUAAAAUGAAUUUCAAAAUGGUGAAUAUUAUGAUUAUUCUUCCCGUUUUCCUGAUCUCUAAAAGGAUAUCUAUCCUUCUUCUGGUUUUUCUAACUUUUUAAAAAUAAAAAAAAAAUAUAUCCUUUUAAUCUUUCAUUUAUUGUUUCCCUCCCUGGGUCUUUCUGGUUUUGAUCCGGAAAAGAAUAGUUUGAGAAUCUCUAAAAGUUGUUUCUCUUCUCUCGUUAAAGGUGUUUUCUUUUUGUCUUAAAUAGGCAUGUUUAAAAUUUACUAUGAACAAGAAUGGGGAUUGUUUUAUCUUGGAUAGUUUUCUUUUGGGUUUGUCUUCUUUAAAGAUCUUGAUUCAAAUGGGUUUGUCCUUUAUAAUUAUCUUAAAAUCUCUGUUACGAUUCUCAGGAUUGGCUUCUACUUUUCUUGCUUGUUUUGUUGGUCCGAUUUGCUUAUGUUUGUCUUCAUUUCAAUUGCUGGAAGGAUUUUCACUUAGUUUUUCUCUGAAUUUUUUUUUGUGAUUUAGAAAUCUGAUGUGAAAAAAAAAAUCCCAUGACCCUGACCCUAACUCCGCUGAUCCCAAAUGGUCCCCCAGGAAUCUGAAAACUCCUAUGAAACAACAUGAUGCUGAAAUCAAUACUGGAUGUGUUCUAUAUGGUUGUAUUUUUUCGAAGAUGCAACUUUCACCAUUUAAAUCUUCGAUUGCGGCAAAGACUAAACCGUCAUCCUCAAUCAUUAAGAAGAUAUCUCUUUCCUGUAUAGGCCGUCGUGACACUUUUAUCAGACUUAUUCAUGGUAGAAGGGUCCAGGAAUCCACCUUGAUAGUUUUAUCGCAAGUUAAGACUCCCAAUCUUCACAACUUGUUUGUGAAUCAAUACAUGCUGCCAGUAUUAGAAGACUACUCAUUGGGUACCGAUGGAGAGCGAAUGCUUCCUAGUUUCAUGAAGAAUUAUAAAUGUUUGUGUUAUCUUUGCAGUCUUAGUUUUAGGGUCUUCUUUAGGACUUAUCGCGUUGUGCUUUUUUCCUUCGUUAAGGUUUUAUCCCUGCGGGUUUUUCUUUUAUCCCUACGAGUUUUCCUUUUCAAGGUUUUUAACGAGGCAACAAA